rnacentral:piRNA from 1 species
UGGCUGUACAUAGUGGAAGGAUGUGUGGU